rnacentral:lncRNA from 1 species
GGGGGCACAGUCUCCGCACUGAUAUCCGACGAAAUUGGAGUCACAUUGGAAGCAGGAUGAGGGAGGGGGGUACAGGAUGGGGAGGGGAUAUCAAAACCAGAGAGGGGGAGGGGGAGAGCGAUGGAUGAUGAGGGAACAGUAAUCCGUGGGCGAGCAAACGACGAGGAUCGUUCGCUCGUUCAACCAGGAGAGGGAUCGAUCAGCCGGUGAGCUCCUCCUCCUUGUGGGUCUCGAUGACGACGUCGGAGGACGGGUAGGCGACGCAGGUCAGCACGUAUCCCUCCGCGAUCUGGUCGUCGUCGAGGAAGCUGCCGUCGGACUGGUCGACUUCGCCGCCCUUCACCUUCCCGGCGCAGGAGGAGCAGGAGCCCGCGCGGCACGAGUAGGGCAGAUCGAUUCCCUGCUCCUCGGCCUCGUCCAGGAUGUACGUGUCGUCGUCGCAGUCGAACUCCUGCGUGCCAUCGGGGGUGAUGAGCUUCACCUUGUAGGUGGCCAUGGCCGUCACGCGGCCUCGGCCGGCCUUGAGCCCGAACAGCGCCUGCCCCACGUUGACGGCGGCGCGGAGGCUCCCCACGGCGGGCCUGCCCCUGACGAAGGAGGCGUUGCUCACAAUCGUGCUGGCCAGCGCCGCUGAGGCCGCCAUCGCCGAGCUUGCCGAGGAAGACGGAGAGAGGAGAAGACCGGAGGAAUGGGGAUGGGAGAGUGAAGAGUCGUGGGUGGUCUCGCUCGC